GAGUUUGAUUCUGGCUCAGGACGAACGCUGGCGGCGUGCCUAAUACAUGCAAGUCGAACGAACGGAGAAAGAAGCUUGCUUUUUUCAAAGUUAGUGGCGAACGGGUGAGUAACACGUGGGUAACCUGCCCAUCAGAGGGGGAUAACAUUCGGAAACGGAUGCUAAAACCGCAUAGGUUCCUUAGUUGCAUGACUGAGGAAGGAAAAGAGGCGUAAGCUUCUGCUGGUGGAUGGACCCGCGGUGCAUUAGCUAGUUGGUGAGGUAACGGCUCACCAAGGCGAUGAUGCAUAGCCGACCUGAGAGGGUGAUCGGCCACAUUGGGACUGAGACACGGCCCAAACUCCUACGGGAGGCAGCAGUAGGGAAUCUUCCGCAAUGGACGCAAGUCUGACGGAGCAACGCCGCGUGAGUGAAGAAGGUUUUCGGAUCGUAAAACUCUGUUGUUAGAGAAGAAUAAGCAUAAUAGUAACUGAU
rnacentral:rRNA from 1 species